UCUGCCUCCCAGGUUCAAGCAAUUCUCCUGCCUCAGCCUCCCAAGUAGCUAGAAUUACAGGCGCCUGCCGCCACGCUUUGCUACUUUUUUGUAUUUUUAGUAGAGACGGGGUUUCACCAUGUUUGCUAGGCUGGUGUCGAACUCCUGACCUCACGUGAUCCAUCCGCCUUGGCCCCCCAAAGUGCUGGGAUUACAGGCGUGAGCCACCGGCCUGUAGUUUUAAAUUUACUAAUGUUAAAACUAAAGUUUUAAAACCUGGCCUGUAGUUUUAAAUUUACUAAUGUCAUCAUGUACCCACUGUGUGUCAGGAGCAAUUCUGCUAUCUGCUUGUGUAUACGUCUUGUAUCCUUGUUUGACAUAAAAAGAAACGCGAGGGAGCUUGGAAGACGUGUCCAAGGUCAAAGAGCUGGGAAGCAGCAGAGCUCAGAUUUGACCCCAGGCUACCUGACUAUCUGACCUUCAGCCUCCCAAGAGCUGUACUUUUCUAUACUCCUGCUCUGCACCUCACACAGCUCAGCACACUCCUCAGUGUGUGGCGCUUCAUCAAUAUUGGUCUAUGCAAACCUUUUGUCUUUUAGUUUUAUUUCUUUCCCUCCAUUCCCAGUCCCCUGCCUACUUUCCUUUUCCCCAGGGGCACCCAUCCAAUUUUAAUGUUUUGAUACAUAUGCUCGAAAAGCUAAAGCAUUGUUCUGCAUAUGUGUGCAUUUUAAAUGUCCAUAAAUGGCAUUGAAGCUGUGAAUCAGUUUCUGUUGCAUUGUGUUUUUUUAAUUCAGCACUUUUUUUCAAGAUCUAUUCAUGCUGCUCCAAGUACAUCUAGUUCUUUGCUUCUAACAGCUGCAGAGAAAUCUGCGGUGUUCAUUCACCAUAUUUUGUUCAUACAUUCCCCUGAGGUUGGAGACCUAGAUUGCCUUCCAGUUCCUGCCCCUACAAACCGUGUCACCAUGAGCAUCCUGGUACAUGCUCCCUUCUGAUUCUGUGCCAGUCUCCUGUCAUUGUAGCUGGGAGUAGAAUUGCUGGAUAACAGGACACCUGCAAACGGCGUUUUAGUAAAUAUCAUCUAAUUGCUCUCCCGAAUGGUUAUAAUACUUUAUCCUCAUAAUGAGCAGUGCAUAAGAGAUUCCAUUUCUGCAUGUCCUCAUCAAAACAUGGCAUCAUCCAGCUUUCUAAUUUUGCCAAUCCAAUGAGUGUAGCGUGAUCUCAUUUUCAUUUGCAUGCCUCUGAUUACUAAUGAGGUUCAGCAUCUUUUCAUAUACUCACUAGUGUUUUUUUGUUUCCCUUCCUGUGAAUUGCUUAUUCAUGUUCUUUACCAGAUUUUCUGCUUUUUUCUUUUUCAUGUUGCUUAGCAGGAGAUCCUUGCAUAUUUUAGUUUAGUUCCUAGGGAUAAUUAAGCCCUACUGCAUAUGGGUAUGUCUUAUACAUGCCCUAGGGCAUGGAUUAUACAUAACAAAUUAACCUCUAAGCCUGUAGCAUGGGACUAUUUACCUACUGUUCUCAGCAAAGUUCAGAAAACACUCAAAUUAUUUGCUGUUUUUUUGUUUUUGUUUUUCUUUUUUUGAGGUGGAGUCUUGCUCUGUCGCCCAGGGUGGAGUGCAGUGGCGCGAUCUUGCCUCACUGCAACCUCCCUCUCUGGGGUUCAAGUGAUUCUCCUGCCUCAGCUUCCCGGGUAGCUGGGACUACAUGUGUGCACUACAAUGCCUGGCUAAUUUUAUCAUAUUUUUGGUAGAGAUGGAGUUUCGCCAUGUUGGCCAGGCUGGUCUCGAACUCCUGACCUCAAGUGAUCCACCUGCCUUGGCCUCCCAAAGUGCUGGGAUUCAGGCGUGAGCCACCGUGCCUGGCCAUAUUUGCUGGUUUUUGAGAUUCAGAUUAGGAACUUCAGUUGAAAAAGUCUGUUCUAGAUAAAAAUUUCUAGUCAAUGUAGAUAUUGCCAAUAUUUUUUCUUAGAAUGUCACCCGCUUGUGGCAUCUAGCAUUGAAUGGAAAUCCUUGAUUUUUUAAAAUUACAAAUAACCAUUGAUUAUUUUAAAGCAGUAUUUUUUAAUUGUAGAAAUUUCAGAAACACAAAUAAUCUAAAAAAUAAAAGCACCAAAUAUUCUUCCAGGUCGUUUCCUGUGUGAGAGUAUGUGUGUGUGUGUGUGUGUGUGUGUGUGUGUUUGCUUGCCAAAAUACAAUCGUGUUGUAUGAAAUGUUUUAUAAUCUGUUUUUUGUUGUUGUUAAUAAUUGCCAUCUUUACAUGUCAAUAAAUUUUUAUUUAAUAUCCAG
rnacentral:sRNA from 1 species